rnacentral:rRNA from 1 species
AGAGUUUGAUCCUGGCUCAGAAUCAACGCUGGCGGCGUGCCUAACACAUGCAAGUCGCACGAGAAAGGGUAGCAAUACCUGAGUAAAGUGGCGCACGGGUGAGUAACACGUGACUAAUCUACCCUCGAGUGGGGAAUAACUGAGAGAAAUCUUAGCUAAUACCGCAUAACACUUACGAGUCAAAGCAGCAAUGCGCUUGGGGAGGAGGUCGCGGCCGAUUAGCUAGUUGGCGGGGUAAUGGCCCACCAAGGCGAUGAUCGGUAUCCGGCCUGAGAGGGCGCACGGACACACUGGAACUGAAACACGGUCCAGACUCCUACGGGAGGCAGCAGUGGGGAAUUUUGCGCAAUGGGGGAAACCCUGACGCAGCAACGCCGCGUGGAGGAUGAAAUAUCUUGGUAUGUAAACUCCUUUCGAUGGGGAAGA